ACCACCACCACCGGCGGCCGGCUCCCGCGGAGCAGCCCCUCAUUUCGGCGACAGACCCGGGGAGCAUGUUCCCCGUCGCAGUGAAUCGCGGCUGGAAAAUGAACCUCGGAGCCGGAUGCACUUGAGUCCCCGUGCUGGGGGCAGGCAGGGGGUGCGCGGGGGAGGGGCUGGAGCAGCGGCCGCCGCGGGAAAUCAGCUUGCGGCGCGCGUCCCUUUGAUCCGGAGACGGGCGCAGUCACGAAGGUAUGGAUGAUAUUCACUGUUCAAACGCUGAUUUCACUCUCUCAAGCCAUCUGCUCCUCCUACUUGAUCCUGCCCUGUCAUAAUACUGCAUGUUAUAUCACCGGUAUUUCCUAGGCAACGGAGUGUGAUGGCAUAAAUACAGCAUUAUGAUUUCAUAGGAAAAUGAGAAGCUAGAUGGGAAGAGGAAAAAACCUUGGAUGUUGGCUUCACUAACACAGUACAAGCAAAUAAAAACAUGCAAAGGAUUUUUAAAA